rnacentral:rRNA from 1 species
UACAGAGGGGGCAAGCGUUAUUCGGAAUUAUUGGGCGUAAAGAGCUCGUAGGCGGUCUGUCGCGUCGGAUGUGAAAGCCCGGGGCUUAACCCCGGGUCUGCAUUCGAUACGGGCAGACUAGAGUGUGGUAGGGGAGAAUGGAAUUCCUGGUGUAGCGGUGGAAUGCGCAGAUAUCAGGAGGAACACCGAUGGCGAAGGCAGGUCUCUGGGCAUUAACUGACGCUGAGGAGCGAAAGCAUGGGGAGCGAACAGG